rnacentral:misc_RNA from 1 species
AAGUCGUAACAAGGUUUCCGUAGGUGAACCUGCGGAAGGAUCAUUAAUGAAAUGUAGGACGCUCUUUUUAGAGGUCCGACCAAAUCAUUUUCCUUUACUCUGUGCACACACUACUUUUUACACCCAUUUUUAUACUCAUUAGUCUUAAGAAUGUAAAACAAGUCUCGAAAGAGCAAUAAAACAAAUAAAA